GACGAACGCUGGCGGCGUGCUUAACACAUGCAAGUCGAACGAAGAGCGAUGGAAGCUUGCUUCUAUCAAUCUUAGUGGCGAACGGGUGAGUAACGCGUAAUCAACCUUCCCUUCAGAGGGGGACAACAGUUGGAAACGACUGCUAAUACCGCAUACGAUCUAAUCUCGGCAUCGAGGAUAGAUGAAAGGUGGCCUCUACAUGUAAGCUAUCACUGAAGGAGGGGAUUGCGUCUGAUUAGCUAGUUGGAGGGGUAACGGCCCACCAAGGCGAUGAUCAGUAGCCGGUCUGAGAGGAUGAACGGCCACAUUGGGACUGAGACACGGCCCAGACUCCUACGGGAGGCAGCAGUGGGGAAUCUUCCGCAAUGGACGAAAGUCUGACGGAGCAACGCCGCGUGAGUGAUGACGGCCUUCGGGUUGUAAAGCUCUGUUAAUCGGGACGAAAGGCCUUCUUGCGAAUAGUGAGAAGGAUUGACGGUACCGGAAUAGAAAGCCACGGCUAACUACGU
rnacentral:rRNA from 1 species